rnacentral:rRNA from 1 species
GACGAACGCUGGCGGCGUGCUUAACACAUGCAAGUCGAACGCCGAAGCAUCCAGCUUGCUGGGUGUGGAUGAGUGGCGAACGGGUGAGUAACACGUGAGUAACCUGCCCCUGACUUCGGGAUAAGCCUGGGAAACUGGGUCUAAUACCGGAUAUGACUACUGGCCGCAUGGUCUGGGGGUGGAAAGGGUUUUACUGGUUGGGGAUGGACUCGCGGCCUAUCAGUUUGUUGGUGGGGUAGUGGCCUACCAAGACGACGACGGGUAGCCGGCCUGAGAGGGCGGCCGGCCACACUGGGACUGAGACACGGCCCAGACUCCUACGGGAGGCAGCAGUGGGGAAUAUUGCACAAUGGGGGGAACCCUGAUGCAGCGACGCCGCGUGCGGGAUGACGGCCUUCGGGUUGUAAACCGCUUUCAGUAGGGAAGAAGCGAAAGUGACGGUACCUGCAGAAGAAGUACCGGCUAACUACGUGCCAGCCGCCGCUGUAAGAC